UACAGAGGUCUCAAGCGUUGUUCGGAUUCAUUGGGCGUAAAGGGUGCGUAGGCGGCGCGGUAAGUCGGGUGUGAAAUUUCGGAGCUUAACUCCGAAACUGCAUUCGAUACUGGCGUGCUUGAGGACUGGAGAGGAGACUGGAAUUCAUGGUGUAGCAGUGAAAUGCGUAGAGAUCAUGAGGAAGACCAGUGGCGAAGGCGGGUCUCUGGACAGCUCCUGACGCUGAGGCGCGAAGGCUAGGGGAGCAAACGGG
rnacentral:rRNA from 1 species